rfam:Rivularia sp. PCC 7116, complete genome.
UGCAAAGCCCACCUGCGUGGGCUA